CGAAGGGAAACCGAGUCUUAACUGGGCGUUAAGUUGCAGGGUAUAGACCCGAAACCCGGUGAUCUAGCCAUGGGCAGGUUGAAGGUUGGGUAACACUAACUGGAGGACCGAACCGACUAAUGUUGAAAAAUUAGCGGAUGACUUGUGGCUGGGGGUGAAAGGCCAAUCAAACCGGGAGAUAGCUGGUUCUCCCCGAAAGCUAUUUAGGUAGCGCCUCGUGAAUUCAUCUCCGGGGGUAGAGCACUGUUUCGGCAAGGGGGUCAUCCCGACUUACCAACCCGAUGCAAACUGCGAAUACCGGAGAAUGUUAUCACGGGAGACACACGGCGGGUGCUAACGUCCGUCGUGAAGAGGGAAACAACCCAGACCGCCAGCUAAGGUCCCAAAGUCAUGGUUAAGUGGGAAACGAUGUGGGAAGGCCCAGACAGCCAGGAUGUUGGCUUAGAAGCAGCCAUCAUUUAAAGAAAGCGUAAUAGCUCACUGGUCGAGUCGGCCUGCGCGGAAGAUGUAACGGGGCUAAACCAUGCACCGAAGCUGCGGCAGCGACACUGUGUGUUGUUGGGUAGGGGAGCGU
rnacentral:rRNA from 1 species